rnacentral:rRNA from 1 species
UACGUAGGGUGCGAGCGUUAAUCGGAAUUACUGGGCGUAAAGCGUGCGCAGGCGGCGCGUUAAGACAGGUGUGAAAGCCCCGAGCUUAACUUGGGAAUUGCGCUUGUGACUGGCGUGCUGGAGUGUGGCAGAGGGAGGUGGAAUUCCACGUGUAGCAGUGAAAUGCGUAGAGAUGUGGAGGAACACCGAUGGAGAAGGCAGCCUCCUGGGCCAGCACUGACGCUCAUGCACGAAAGCGUGGGGAGCAAACAGG